rnacentral:rRNA from 1 species
GAUGAACGCUGGCGGCGUGCUUAACACAUGCAAGUCGAACGAUGAAGCCCAGCUUGCUGGGUGGAUUAGUGGCGAAUGGGUGAGUAACACGUGAGUAACCUGCCCUUGACUCUGGGAUAAGCCUGGGAAACUGGGUCUAAUACUGGAUAUGACUUCUCAUCGCAUGGUGGGGGGUGGAAAGAUUUAUUGGUCUUGGAUGGACUCGCGGCCUAUCAGCUUGUUGGUGAGGUAAUGGCUCACCAAGGCGACGACGGGUAGCCGGCCUGAGAGGGUGACCGGCCACACUGGGACUGAGACACGGCCCAGACUCCUACGGGAGGCAGCAGUGGGGAAUAUUGCACAAUGGGCGCAAGCCUGAUGCAGCGACGCCGCGUGAGGGAUGACGGCCUUCGGGUUGUAAACCUCUUUCAGUAGGGAAGAAGCGAGAGUGACGGUACCUGCAGAAGAAGCGCCGGCUAACUACGUG